UUUAUGAAAGAUUAACUUCUGCGAAAGCAUCUGCCAAGGAUGUUUUCAUUAAUCAAGAACGAAAGUUAGGGGAUCGAAGACGAUCAGAUACCGUCGUAGUCUUAACCAUAAACGAUGCCGACCAGCGAUUAGGAGACGUUGAAUACAAAACACCACCAUCGGCGCGGUCGUCCUUGGCGUGUCUCGGCUUCACGGCCGGGGCGCGCGAGGGCGGUUUAGCCCGGUGGCACCGGUGAAUGACUCCCCUAGCAGCUUGUGAGAAA
rnacentral:rRNA from 1 species